rnacentral:rRNA from 1 species
GACGAACGCUGGCGGCGUGCCUAAUACAUGCAAGUCGAGCGGACGGAUGGGAGCUUGCUCCCAGACCGUCAGCGGCGGACGGGUGAGUAACACGUGGUCAACCUGCCUGUAAGACUGGGAUAACUCCGGGAAACCGGGGCUAAUACCGGAUAACUCUUUCCCUCACAUGAGGGAAAGCUGAAAGAUGGCAUCUCGCUAUCACUUACAGAUGGGCCCGCGGCGCAUUAGCUAGUUGGUGAGGUAACGGCUCACCAAGGCGACGAUGCGUAGCCGACCUGAGAGGGUGAUCGGCCACACUGGGACUGAGACACGGCCCAGACUCCUACGGGAGGCAGCAGUAGGGAAUCUUCCGCAAUGGACGAAAGUCUGACGGAGCAACGCCGCGUGAGUGAUGAAGGCUUUCGGAUCGUAAAACUCUGUUGUCAGGGAAGAACAAGUACCGGAGUAACUGCCGGUACCUUGACGGUACCUGACCAGAAAGCCACGGCUAACUACGUG